rnacentral:lncRNA from 1 species
UCUCUCUUUGACCUAUCUUCCGGAGAAGAAGGUGGCAGGCGGCUGUCCACGGUGGCGCCGCCCCUCUACUCCGGCGAACAAACAAAAAUUCCACCUUCCCCAUUAAAAUACUCUCCUGAGUUUGAAUCUGAACUCAGAUUCUUCACCACUAUCCCUAAUCGUCCGGAUCGGAAACAAAAAUUCCACCUUCCCCAUUAAAAUACUCUCCUGAGUUUGAAUCUGAACUCAGAUUCUUCACCACUAUCCCUAAUCGUCCGGAUCGGGGACGUCUAACUAAAACCCUAAGACCAAAAUCGAAUAAAAAUUAGUGAAGGUCUCCCCCAAUUAAACAUGGAUUCCUCUCAAGUCUGCAAGG